GGGGUAUAGCUCAGUUGGUAGAGUGCUUGCCUUGCAUGCACAAGGCCUUGGGUUCAAUCCCCAGCACCAAACCA
rnacentral:tRNA from 1 species